rnacentral:rRNA from 1 species
UGGGGGAUAUUGCACAAUGGGCGAAAGCCUGAUGCAGCGACGCCGCGUGAGGGAAGACGGUUUUCGGAUUGUAAACCUCUGUCUUCGGGGACGAAAAUGACGGUACCCGAGGAGGAAGCCACGGCUAACUACGUGCCAGCAGCCGCGGUAAUACGUAGGUGGCAAGCGUUGUCCGGAAUUACUGGGUGUAAAGGGAGAGUAGGCGGGAUUGCAAGUCCGUUGUUAAAUCUAUCGGCUUAACCGGUAGCUGCGGCGGAAACUGUAGUUCUUGAGUGAAGUAGAGGCAGGCGGAAUUCCUAGUGUAGCGGUGAAAUGCGUAGAUAUUAGGAGGAACACCAGUGGCGAAGGCGGCCUGCUGGGCUUUAACUGACGCUGAGGCUCGAAAGUGUGGGGAGCAAACAGG